GACGAACGCUGGCGGCGUGCCUAAUACAUGCAAGUUGAGCGCUUAAGGCUGGUACUUGUACCUAUUGAGUGAGCAGCGGACGGGUAAGUAACGCGUAGGGAAUCUGCCUUUGAGCGAGGGACAACGUUAAGAAACGAAUGCUCAUACCACAUAAAAACUUUAAACACAAAGUUUAAGGUUAAAAGAUGCAAUUGCAUCACGCAACGCUGAUCCCUCGUUGUAUUAGCUAGUUGGUGAGGUAAAAGCGCACCAAGGCGAUGUUACAUAGUAGACCUGAGAGGGUGGGCAGCCAGAUUGGGACUGCGACACGGCACAUACGGCCACGGGAGGGAGCAGUAGGGAAUCUUCGGCAAUGGAUGAGAGUCUGUGCGAGCUAGGCGGCGUCAGGGAAGAAGGUUUUCGGAUCGUAAAAGAAUGUUGGUAGGGUAGAAAGUUGGUGAGAGUGGAAAGAUGAUAAAGUGACGGUAACUGCAGAGAAAGGGACGGCUAACUACGUG
rnacentral:rRNA from 1 species